UGGGGAAUAUUGCACAAUGGGGGAAACCCUGAUGCAGCGACGCCGCGUGAGCGAUGAAGGCUUUCGAGUCGUAAAGCUCUGUCCUAUGGGAAGAUAAUGACGGUACCAUAGAAGAAAGCCCCGGCUAAUUACGUGCCAGCAGCCGCGGUAAUACGUAGGGGGCUAGCGUUGUCCGGAAUCACUGGGCGUAAAGGGUUCGCAGGCGGCAAUGCAAGUCAGAUGUAAAAGGCAAAGGCUCAACCUUUGUAAGCAUCUGAAACUGUAUAGCUUGAGAAGUGUAGAGGCAAGUGGAAUUUUUAGUGUAGCGGUGAAAUGCGUAGAUAUUAAAAAGAAUACCGGUGGCGAAGGCGACUUACUGGGCUCAUUCUGACGCUGAGGAACGAAAGCGUGGGUAGCAAACAGG
rnacentral:rRNA from 1 species